GACGAACGCUGGCGGCGUGCUUAACACAUGCAAGUCGAACGAUGAAGCUAGAGCUUGCUCUGGUGGAUUAGUGGCGAACGGGUGAGUAACACGUGAGUAACCUGCCCCGAACUCUGGGAUAACUGCUGGAAACGGUAGCUAAUACCGGAUAUGACCAAUGAAGGCAUCUUCUGGUGGUGGAAAGAAUUUCGGUUCGGGAUGGACUCGCGGCCUAUCAGCUUGUUGGUGAGGUAACGGCUCACCAAGGCGACGACGGGUAGCCGGCCUGAGAGGGUGAUCGGCCACACUGGGACUGAGACACGGCCCAGACUCCUACGGGAGGCAGCAGUGGGGAAUAUUGCACAAUGGGUGCAAGCCUGAUGCAGCAACGCCGCGUGAGGGACGACGGCCUUCGGGUUGUAAACCUCUUUUAGUAGGGAAGAAGCGAAAGUGACGGUACCUGCAGAAAAAGCACCGGCUAACUACGUGCCAGCAGCCGCCGUAA
rnacentral:rRNA from 1 species